GUGAAUGUCUGAGAUACUAUUCGAGAGCUAUUUAGUUUCAUUUCCACUAUUAAAUUUUCUGUACAUCUAGUCGGUAAUUGAAAGAAAAUUGCAUGAUGGGUAGCAAGCACAUGAUGAUGAUGAGAAAGAAUGGGUGUACUUUCCAAUGGAAGAUAGAAAAUUUUAGCUAUUGUUGGCAUAAAAAAGGUGAGAAUUUCUUCAGUCCUGUGUUUGCUGUAAAUAUGAAGGAAGAAACUACUGAAUGGAAACUGGCACUUUGUCCAAAAGGAUAUUCAGAUGGAAGAUUCAUCGGUUUUUAUCUUUGUAGAGCAUACGACAACAGUAGUGAAGAUAAUAUAGAAGUAGAUUUUGAAUUUACUUUUCUUUCAGCAGGUCACUCCACUCCAAGACCACUCCAUCCUAAAUCAUUCAAAAGGUUAUUUAAUAAAGGUCGAAUAUCUGGUUGUCCGGAAUUUAUGAAACGAGAAGAUUUAUUCACUCUUGAAAGAGCUGUGCUACUGCCUCAAGAUAUUCUUACCGUUCGUUGUAACAUGAGGAGAGUGGAUGGUGAAAGUAUAGAGAAAGUUCACAUUUUUGCUCGAACAAUGAUACGAAUUGAACAAAUGAAUUUUACGUGGGCCAUAAAGGACUUCAGCUGCAUUGAACCCUAUCAGAAAGUUCCCUUCUUUCUUAAAUCAUCCUCUAAAGAAGUCUUUGCAACACUUAAUCUUUUUUUAACGGGUCAGUGUGGGAGCGAAACGAUUUGUGUCGAACUUAUUUAUUCUGGUAAAACCAUGAAACUUUUCACGGUACAAUCUUGCAUACUGAAUAAUGAAAGCAAGACAAUCGAUAACACUAGGCAAGAAUAUUGUUUUGAUGAAUUUUCAAAUAAAGAAAAAUUUAUAUUUCUUUUAAAGAAAAAGAGUCUGAUAGAAAAUAAAGAGCAUUAUCUGCCAAAGAAUGUACUGUCUCUGGAAUUUGAAUGUGCGGCUUCUAUCGGUAUUGCUUUUGAAGGAAUCGAACGGAUUGAAUUGGGACGCAAUUCUUUAGUUGAAAACACCAGCGCUCAACAGAAGCGGCCAGAUUCUUCUCUUACAUUAAAAGAUGAUUUAAAAUCAAUUUGCUGUGAUGGAUUUCUGUCUGAUAUAAUGCUUUGUACGGCAACUAACACAUUUCCGGUACAUAAGAUCAUUCUCAGUGCCAGAUCUCCUGUAUUUAUGAGGAUGUUCAGUACUGACAUGAAAGAAAAGCAUGAUGAAUAUGUGGAUAUCACUGAUGUGAGUUCUGAAACCUUGUUUCGUCUGUUAUUAUAUAUAUACACUGAUACUGUAGAAGACUUAACAAUGGAAGCUGCGUCUGAGCUAUAUGAAGCUGCAGAUAAAUAUUCGGUUCUCAGCUUGAAGGAAAAAUGCUCUACUUUUAUCAAAGACAAUUUCAGUCCUUCCAAUGUAUGCCAGAUAUUGAUUAUCGCAGACCUGCACCAUGACGAAAUUCUAAAGUUAGCUGUUCAAGAUUAUAUUUUGGAAAACUACUACAUUGUAUUUAAGUCAGAAGAAUGGAAACAGUUGAUGGAAACUAAUCCUAGAUUAACUACUGAAACGAUGUUCCGCAAAUUCAUGAAAAUAUAGAUCGUUGUCAUUUUUAUAGUGGUUCCUACCGGAGAAGUCCUUCAAUUUAGUUAAAAGAUAAUAAUCAUCCGGGGCCAAGUCCGGGAUACAAGUUGGAUGUUCAAAAGCUUUCUGCUUAAAACUGCUGAAGUAAUUCUUCCUCAAAGUAGUAGUAUGCGGACAAGCAUUACAAUGAAGAAUCACAAAGCCGUUGGACAACAAUCCAAGUCGUUUACUUUGAAUGGGGCCGUGUAAUCGGAAAAGGAUCUGAUAAUCGGCCACGGCAUUGUGGGUUAUCCUUCUAGAAAUACAGAUGAGGUGACAAGGCUGUGACUUCCAAGCCGGAGGGCUCCAGUUUCAAAACUCUAUUCCACCAAAUGUCCGCCUGAAACUCACCAAUCUGAUGCAGUAGGCCAAAAGUCCUGCUAUUAAUGUGGCGCAAGAGUUUGUAGAAUUUCAGCAUUUGAUCCUGUAUUCAACAUUAUUAAGUCCUGUCUUAAUAACGUCGAAGACCGAUAUUCAAAUUGGAAGCAGCACUAGAAAAUAAUUUUUGUGACGUUAAUAUAAUUUUUUUUUUUUUUUUUAGAGAGAGAAACAGCAGCUAAAAGGAUGUCAAAAUGCAUAGUCAAAUAAAAAUUUAUCUUACUUUAAUGGUACUUAUUAAUAAUGAUAAAGAAAAAUUAUUUAAUAAUUUUAUCUAAACAUUUAUUUUAUUUCCAACAAUAUUCCAAUAAUUUUGGAAUAAUUAGCGAUGGCGAUUUCGAAUUUGGCAGUGUUUUUGUAAGAGUGAUUCCAUUUUUCGAGAUAUAUUGAAAAUUAAUAAUUGAAUUACCUUCAGACAUUUUUAAACUAAGUAUCUGGGCCUCAUCGGAUUACUUUCCAAAGAAUCGUCCAGAGUAAUGUGUGACAAUAUUACAUUUCUAUUUUUUUUUAUACUCCAGCUAAAAAACGCACGUUAGUUUUUUUUUUUUUUUAAUCUUGAGAGAAGGCAGAGGUUUAGUUGAACAGCAAGUAAAAUUCACGAAACAAACACUCUAACUCAAAUCAACAAUGAAAAUAAAAUUUUAGUAAUAAUAUCUGUAUCUUUUCAAUUGCAGUGAAACUGACUGAAAAGAUCAAUAAUAAGACUAAUUCAAUGCAAUAAAUGAAGUCAAUCCUAAAGAGUAACGAAUAUAUAAAUCGGAACAGAAAUCAUUUGAAAUCCGUGCCAGAAAUAAAAAAAAUGUAAGCAAGAUUAAUAAAUGAUGUAAAUUUCAACAAAUUAAAAUAGAUCGACAGGAAUGGUAUACUAAGAUAACAAUAGCAUGCUUAAAUAUACACGAUGAUGUUGCCUUAAGCCGAAUAAAACGAAAACUAAAUAAUUUAGUAUAAUAUUUAAUUCAUGGAAAAGCAUUUCUUAUAUCUUUUGCGUAUUAGAUGUAGUGAAAGUUACGAAUUGAAGGCCAAGUAAUAAUCUGCCAUCAAAUGUGUGUUCCAUUCUCUUGAUAUUUUCGCUUCAUUAAUAUAAUAAAUAUCCUGAAGAAAUCUUCAUCAGUGUUCCUCACUAAAAUGGCCCAGAUAGUCUAGAAAUUUAUCCGAUUAUGUAGAAAAUACACCAUUACGCCUAUAUUAGCACCCAAUUUAUGAAAAAUAUAGCAUAUUUCAUACUCGAUCUUCAUAGUCUAACGAGGGGAGGCACGAGUUGGAAAAUUGUGUUCGGGAUGAGAUUUAGUAAAAUGAUAGCAUACAUUCAGAAUGUUCAUUCAUGAAAAUAUUAAAGCGUAAUAGCCAGCCAAUUUCGAGUAAAUGGUCCUCAAACUUUCAGCAUAACUCGUAUACUAGUGGCCCCGUUGCCGAGACCUGAAUCGUAUAAAGGACAAGGCACUGGCAUAAUAUUCAUGAAAAUUGCUCCUGGACUAGUAUUUUUUGCUUUUAUUUAUUUUUUCUUUUCAAGUUAUUUUAAAUUAAUUUAGCAAUUUACAAACAGCUUUAAUAUGUUUUUCAUAUUUUCUAUGCAAAAAUAAAUAU